GGGGCUGUGGUGUAACUGGUAGCACCUCAGAUUGUGAUUCUGAAAGAGCGAGUUCGAAUCUCGCCGGUCCCUCCA
rnacentral:tRNA from 1 species